UUCAUAGCACAUUUGUGAUAU
rnacentral:piRNA from 1 species